rnacentral:rRNA from 1 species
CCUACGGGUGGCUGCAGUGGGGAAUAUUGGGCAAUGGACGAAAGUCUGAACCAGCGAUGCCGCGUGCAGGAAGAAGGCUCUCUGAGUUGUAAACUGCUUUUGUACGGGGGUAAACGCAGAUACGCGUAUCUGUCUGAAAGUAUCGUACGAAUAAGGAUCGGCUAGCUCCGUGCCGUCAGCCGCGGUACUACGGAGGAUUCAAGCGUUAUCCGGAUUUAUUGGGUUUAAAGGGUGCGUAGGCGGUCGGAUAAGUUAGAGGUGAAAUCCCGAGGCUCAACGUCGGAAUUGCCUUUGAUACUGUUCGGCUAGAGAGUAGUUGAGGUAGGCGGAAUGUAUGGUGUAGCGGUGAAAUGCGUAGAGAUCAGACAGAACACCGAUGGCGAAGGCAGCUUACCAAGCUAUUUCUGACGUUGAGGCACGAAAGCGUGGGGAGCAAACAGGAUUAGAUACCCGAGUAGUC